AUUAUUUGAUUGAAAUCCCAAACACCUAAUCAGCCAGUUUACUACACUUUUUACACUUAAACCACCUACAAACCUCACCAAGGAUGCUUGCGUUAAGGACAUGGAAGUAGACAUAUCGGACACUUUGUGGGCCAAUGGGUUGAAGAAGAUUAAAGAAUGCUCUGUUAAUGCCAGAUUACAACUUAGGCAGUUCAAAGUCCUUCAUCGUUUGCGUUUCUCUAAAAUAAAGCUAGGCAGCAUUUUUCCAUCUAUUUCCUCAUUGUGUCAUAAAAUGCAAAGCAAUGGAAGGAACCACUGCCCACCUUUUCUGGUCUUGCCCUAAACUUUUUUGGGCAGAGAUAUUUAAUAUGUAUAACCGGAUUUAUGACUUAAAAUUAAAGCCGGAUUGUAUACUUGCAGUGCUAGGCUGCUCCCUAACCUCACUGGCACUUAGACGUCCUCUUCAGAAACCCUUAAUGUUUGACAUGAUUGUAGCUAAAAGCUAUUGUAGCUAUUCUUAGAGCCUGGAAAUCACCAUCUCCUCCCUUGUUUAGGGUUUGGCUAUGAGAGAGGAUUGCAUGUUUGUAUAUUGCCUUAUUUUUUUCUUUUCUUUUAUUGUUUUCCUGUUCUGGUUUUUUGGUUUUUGUCUUACUUUCUGCGCUUGGAUGUCAUUGUUUUUUAUUUGAUUUUAUGUCAUUUUAAGUUAAAAUCUUGUAAAUAAACAUUAAAAAAAAAACCUUUAAGAGCAAGUAUUUUAAAAAAUAUCUCCAAGCAUACCGUCUAUUUACCAGAAUACCUGUGUUGGUUUUUGUUUUAGGUUUUUUUUUUAACAUUGCCUUAUUUCUUUGUUGCAUGACUUCCAGGCUAGGCCCUUAUCAGUCUACACAAGAUGACCAGCAAACCACAAACCCAGUCAAUGCCACACAGGGGCGCCAUUAACUCACAGCUAGGCUCAGCAUCAUUCAUCACAAUUAGCACAACAAAACAAGCAAGUUCAGCUUCAUUCGGCUAGUGUGCACUGCUCACUGGUGCAACAGAAAUGCCAGACUGAUGAUUUAAGCAUUUGUCAACCUUAAAGUUGCUUUCAUAAUAUAAAUUCAUAAUGUUAAAUCUUCUGCUUAAUGAAAUACGUGCAAUAGACGCAGAGCAGCCUCUCAGAAAACCAGUAAUUGAAUUGACUCACCUUUUUUCAAAUCAUCUUGUUUGGACUCAGGAUAAACUAUCCAUCGUUUUAAUAUCCAUUCAUUUCAUGUCUUUGGAGCACGAAGGCGAUCCACACAGAGAGCACUCCUG
ensembl:lncRNA